rnacentral:rRNA from 1 species
AUUGAACGCUGGCGGCAGGCCUAACACAUGCAAGUCGAGCGGAUGAAGGGAGCUUGCUCCUGGAUUCAGCGUCGGACGGGUGAGUAAUGCCUAGGAAUCUGCCUGGUAGUGGGGGAUAACGUCCGGAAACGGGCGCUAAUACCGCAUACUUCCUGAGGGAGAAAGUGGGGGAUCUUCGGACCUCACGCUAUCAGAUGAGCCUAGGUCGGAUUAGCUAGUUGGUGGGGUAAAGGCCUACCAAGGCGACGAUCCGUAACUGGUCUGAGAGGAUGAUCAGUCACACUGGAACUGAGACACGGUCCAGACUCCUACGGGAGGGCGCAGUGGGGAAUAUUGGACAAUGGGCGAAAGCCUGAUCCAGCCGUGCCGCGUGUGUGAAGAAGGUCUUCGGAUUGUAAAGCACUUUAAGUUGGGAGGAAGCGCAGUAAGUUAAUACCUUGCUGUUUUGACGUUACCAACAGAAUAAGCACCGGCUAACUUCGUG